ACGCGCUGGUCUUAGGAGCCAGUGGGCAACCGUGUGGGUUCGAGUCCCACCGCCCGCACCA
rnacentral:tRNA from 1 species